rnacentral:tRNA from 1 species
GGGCCUGUAGCUCAUUUGGUAGAGCGCUACAUUCGCAUUGUAGAGGUGAGGGGUUCGAAUCCCCUCAGGUCCACCA